CCCGCACUGCGCGCAGCAUGAUCAGCCAUUCCGCGUGAGUGAGAAGGCCUUCGGGUUGUAAAGCUCUUUCGCCCGGGAAGAAAAGUUACCGGCUAAUACCCGGUGAGGCUGACGGUACCUUGAUAAGAAGCACCGGCUAACUACGUGCCAGCAGCCGCGGUAAU
rnacentral:rRNA from 1 species